GAGGUCCAGCCUGCCCAGUGACUGUUCAACGGCCGCGGUAUUCUAACCGUGCAAAGGUAGCGUAAUCACUUGUUUUUUAAAUAAAGACCAGUAUGAAAGGCACCACGAGGAUUAAACUGUCUCUUUUCUCUAAUCAGUGAACCUAAUCUCCCCGUGAAGAAGCGCGGAUUAAAAUAUAAGACAAGAAGACCCUGUGGAGCUUAAAACAAUAGUAUGUUUUUGGUUGGGGUGACCACGGAGAAAAACACAUCCUCCACAAUGAAAAAUAAGUUACAACUUUACGCAUCAAAAAUUGACAUCAUCGACCCAAUAAUUGAUCAAUGAACCAAGUUACCCCAGGGAUAACAGCACAAUCCACUUUGAGAGCUCCUAUCGACAAGUGGGCUUAUGACCUCGAUGUUGGAUCGGGGUAU
rnacentral:rRNA from 1 species